CUACGGGAGGCACCAGUGGGGAAUAUUGGACAAUGGGCCACAAGCCUGAUCCAGCAAUUCUGUGUGCACGAUGACGGUCUUCGGAUUGUAAAGUGCUUUCAGUUGGGAAGAAGAAAGUGACGGUACCAACAGAAGAAGCGACGGCUAAAUACGUGCCAGCAGCCGCGGUAAUACGUAUGUCGCAAGCGUUAUCCGGAUUUAUUGGGCGUAAAGCGCGUCUAGGCGGGAAAGAAAGUCUGAUGUUAAAAUGCGGGGCUCAACUCCGUAUUGCGUUGGAAACUCCUUUUCUAGAGUAUCAGAGAGGUGGGCGGAACUACAAGUGUAGAGGUGAUAUUCGUAGAUAUUUGUAGGAAUGCCGAUGGAGAAGUCAGCUCACUGGAUGAAUACUGACGCUAAAGCGCGAAAGCGUGGGGAGCAAACAGGAUUAGAUACCCUGGUAGUC
rnacentral:rRNA from 1 species